GGGCUGUUGGGUGAGCGGUUAAGCCGGUUGACUAGAAAGGUCUUUGUAAUGAAGAUCCUAAUUAUCAACUCCGAUUUUCGGGCAGAGGUUCGAGUCCUCUACAGUCCG
rfam:Capsaspora owczarzaki ATCC 30864 unplaced genomic scaffold supercont2.3, whole genome shotgun sequence.